AUGAACGCUGGCGGCGUGCUUAACACCUGCCAGUCGCACGGAAAGGCCAGUGCUUGCACUGGUACUCGAGUGGCGAACGGGUGAGUAACACGUGGGUGAUCUGCCCUGUACUUCGGGAUAAGCUUGGGAAACUGGGUCUAAUACCGGAUAGGACAACUUUUUGGAUAUUGUUGUGGAAAGCUUUUGCGGUAUGGGAUGAGCUCGCGGCCUAUCAGCUUGUUGGUGGGGUAAUGGCCUACCAAGGCGUCGACGGGUAGCCGGCCUGAGAGGGUGUACGGCCACAUUGGGACUGAGAUACGGCCCAGACUCCUACGGGAGGCAGCAGUGGGGAAUAUUGCACAAUGGGCGCAAGCCUGAUGCAGCGACGCCGCGUGGGGGAUGAAGGCCUUCGGGUUGUAAACUCCUUUCGCUAGGGACGAAGCUUUUUUGUGACGGUACCUGGAGAAGAAGCACCGGCUAACUACGUG
rnacentral:rRNA from 1 species